UCACUCACUUAUUUCAUAUUUAUUCACCGUAUCAUUUUUUUAACUAUUACAUGAAUAGUUCUAGUUCUAAAACGAACAGUUCUAGUUCUAAAACGAAUAAUGAAGAAACUUGAAAAAAUGAACCAAAUAUUAAAAUAAUAAUUAUUAGAUUAUUCAGACCAUUCAAAUUCGAUCUAUGAAUUGGACAAAUUAUUUACUCAGAGAAAAA
rnacentral:lncRNA from 1 species